rnacentral:rRNA from 1 species
GACGAACGCUGGCGGCGUGCUUAACACAUGCAAGUCGAACGGAAAGGCCCUGUUUUGGUGGGGGGCUCGAGGGGAGAACGGGUGAAUAACACGUGAGUAACCUGCCCUUUACGUGGUGAUAACGUCAGGAACCUGGGACUACUACCUGCUAGGUGCUCCUGCUGCAUGGUGGGCGUUGGAAAGUUUCGGCGGUUGGGGAUGGACUCGCGGCUUAUCAGCUUGUUGGUGGGGUAGUUGCUUACCAAGGCUUCGACGGGUAGCCGGCCUGAGAGGGUGACCGGCCCCAAUGGGACUGAGAUACGGCCCAGACUCCUACGGGAGGCAGCAGUGGGGAAUAUUGCACAAUGGGCGGAAGCCUGAUGCAGCAACGCCGCGUGCGGGAUGACGGCCUUCGGGUUGUAAACCGCUUUCGCCUGUGACGAAGCGUGAGUGACGGUAAUGGGUAAAGAAGCACCGGCUAACUACGUG